rnacentral:rRNA from 1 species
UGGCGGACGGGUGAGAAACGCGUGGGAACGUACCCUUUGCUACGGAAUAGCCUCGGGAGACUGGGAGUAAUACCGUAUGAGCCCCGAGAGGGGGAAAGAUUUAUCGCCUUGGGAGCGGCCCGCGUCGGAUUAGCUAGUUGGCGAGGUAAAGGCCCACCAAGGCGACGAUCCGUAGCUGGUCUGAGAGGAUGAUCAGCCACACUGGAACUGAGACACGGUCCAGACUCCUACGGGAGGCAGCAGUGGGGAAUAUUGGACAAUGGGGGCAACCCUGAUCCAGCCAUGCCGCGUGUGUGAAGAAGGCCUUCGGGUUGUAAAGCACUUUUGUUGGGGAAGAAACCGGCCGGGUUAAUACCCUGGUUGAAUGACGGUACCCAAAGAAUAAGCACCGGCUAACUUCGUGCCAGCAGCCGCGGUAAU